GAAAUUUGCUUCCAUGGAAUUUUCACCUGUUGCUUUUAAUCCUGCCCUGUGGAGCAACAGAGAAGAAAAGUAUUCUCCAUCUUUUCAUGACAGCCCUUCAAUAUAUUUGAAGACCAUCAUCACAUUCCUCCUCCCUCCCCUUCCAUCUUCUCUAGGCUAAACACCCACUAGCUCUUUCAA